rnacentral:rRNA from 1 species
UACGGAGGAUGCAAGCGUUAUCCGGAAUGAUUGGGCGUAAAGCGUCCGCAGGUGGCUAUGUAAGUCUGCUGUUAAAGAGUGUGGCUCAACCUCAUAAGAGCAGUGGAAACUACAUGGCUAGAGUGCGUUCGGGGCAGAGGGAAUUCCUGGUGUAGCGGUGAAAUGCGUAGAGAUCAGGAAGAACACCGGUGGCGAAAGCGCUCUGCUAGGCCGCAACUGACACUGAGGGACGAAAGCUAGGGGAGCGAAUGGG